AGAGAUUGACAACAAAUAAUUUUUUGAAAGUUAUACAUUACAUAUAGUGUUAUUUGGCAUUGUCAUUGAAUUUUCAGUUGUAUUUGUGUUAAAAUAACAGCCAUCUUUUACUGUACAUUUACAAUGUGCCACAGUACCAAGCACGUUAUAAUCAUGUUGUCUCAUUUGACUCAUUCGCGGGCACUGACAUCUGAAAAAACAAAGCUUAACAAAGACCUGUAGGUAUCACAGCCAGGAAGCAAAUUUAGGUCCUUCUGGUUACAAAGUCAAUGUUUCAACCAUCAGGCUCCUCCACAUGACUCAGUUGUUUCUAUUUUAAAUCAAAGAGGGUUUCUUUUCAUAAUAAGCUCAACUUCUGUUGAUUUCUUCAUAAAAUUAGAUAAAUUAGUUUUAAGUCUGUGUGAAUGUAUAGCACAGAGUUUCCAGCAGGUGAACAGAAAGAGUUUCCAGCAGAUGAACAUUCUAUUAUAGGAAAACACAGUGGAGUAAUAUCCAUUCUUUUAUAGGAAAUAGCAAUGGAAUAAUAUCCAUAAAUGGGAAAAUAAUUUAAAAUGUUUCUUUUUUCAGAAAUACGUUUAUUUUAAUCAAGUGGAAAGAAAACUUUUAAGUGAUAGGUCAGUGCAUGUGAAAAAGUAAAUGAAAACAUGUCUUCUUCUUCCCCUGCUCCCCCCACUUCUCCUUUUUCUCCUCUUCUUUUUUGAGACAGGAUCUCACUGUGUCACCCAGGCUGAAAUGCAAUCGUGCAAUCAUGGCUCACUGCAGCCUCAACUGUGAUAAAACUGUUUAAACUGAGCUCAACUAAGCACAAGAAAGGGAAAGGGGCUCAGAAAGGAUAACAAAGGUUUGUUUCCCAACUGAAGAGCUGGCCUUUCUCCUAAGGAGAGCUUCUCCCAACUCCCCUCACUGCAUUAGCUGCCUUUGGAAUUAGCUUUGGCCCUUGGACAACAUGGGUUUGAACUGUGCAGAUCCACUAAUACAUAUAUUUUUUUCAAUCAAACUUACAUGGAGUGUGCCUGCCUCUCCUGCAUGCUCUCCAACCUCUGAGCUCCUAGGGUCCAUGAAUUUGCAUCUUUUCUUUUUGUGACCACCAAUUGCAUGUACUUUUUAAGGCCUAAUCUUUUUUUUUAUUUUUUAAAAAGCUUUUAUUUUAGGUUCAGGAAUAAAUGUGUAGGUUUUUUACAUAGGUAGCAAACAGAAUAUACAGUUUGUCUUAAAUCUUUAAAACAUAACUCACACCUGUAAUCCCAGCACUUUGGGAUACCGAGGUAGGUGAAUCACUGUUGUUGAGACGAGCCUUGCGAACAUGGUGAAAUCCUGUCUCUACUAAAAAUACAAUAAUUAGCCGGGCAUAGUGGCUCAUGACUGUAAUCCCAGCCACUAGGGGAGCUGAAGAAGGAGGAUCACUUGAACCUGAGAGGUGAAGUUGCAGUGAGCUGAGACCAUGCCACUGCACUCCAGCCUGGGCAACAGAGCAAAACUUCAUCUCAAAAAAAAGAAAAAAGACUGUGAAUACCAAGGUUCUUUAAAGCCAGGCACAGUGGCUCACAGCUGUAAUCCCAGCACUUUGGGA
ensembl:lncRNA